CAUCUCCCAAGGCUAAAUACUCCCUAGUGACCGAUAGUGAACCAGUACCGUGAGGGAAAGGUGAAAAGCACCCCGGAAGGGGAGUGAAAGAGAUCCUGAAACCGUGUGCCUACAAGUAGUCAGAGCCGUAGGUGAUGGCGUGCCUUUGUAGAAUGAACCGGCGAGUUACGAUCCCGUGCAAGGUUAAGUUUGAAAAGACGGAGCCGCAGCGAAAGCGAGUCUGAAUAGGGCGCAUGAGUACGUGGUCGUAGACCCGAAACCAGGUGAUCUACCCAUGUCCAGGGUGAAGUUCAGGUAACACUGAAUGGAGGCCCGAACCC
rnacentral:rRNA from 1 species